rnacentral:rRNA from 1 species
CCCUUAGAUGUUCUGGGCUGCACGCGCGCUACACUGCUGCAAUUAACGGGUUUUCUGUGCCGAAAGGCUUGGGGAAUCCUUUGAAUAUGCGGCGUGAUGGGGAUAGAAUAUUGUAAUUAUUACUCUUCAACGAGGAAUUCCUAGUAAGCGCGAAUCAUCAGUUCGCGUUGAUUACGUCCCUGCCCUUUGUACACACCGCCCGUCGCUCCUACCGAUUGAAUGGUCCGGUGAAAAUUUCGGAUACCGGCGUUGCUGGCGGUUCGCCGCCGGCGACGCUGGUAGAAGAUCUUUAAACCUUAUCAUUUAGAGGAAGGAGAAGUCGUAACA